rnacentral:rRNA from 1 species
GACGAACCGUGCGAACGUUGUUCGGAAUCACUGGGCUUAAAGGGCGCGUAGGCGGGCUGUCAAGUCUGGGGUGAAAUCCCGCGGCUCAACCGUGGAACUGCCUCAGAUACUGACGGCCUCGAGGGAGAUAGGGGCGAGCGGAACUGUGAGUGGAGCGGUGAAAUGCGUUGAUAUUCACAGGAACUCCGGUGGCGAAGGCGGCUCGCUGGAUCUCUUCUGACGCUGAGGCGCGAAAGCCAGGGGGAGCAAACGGGG